rfam:Otolemur garnettii contig039020, whole genome shotgun sequence.
ACACUUACCUGGCAGGGGAGAUACCAUGAUCACAAAGGUAGUUUUCCCAGGGCUAGGCUUCUCCAUUGUACUCGGAAGUGCUGAUCCCUGCGAUUUCCAAAUGUGGGAAACUCGACUGCAUAAUUUGUAGUAGUGGGGAACUGCGAUCAUGCUUUCCCUUG